GGCCAGCCCUGUGCGAGCAGCUGGGGUAAUAUUGGGGGUCCAUGCGUUUUCCGGAUUUAUUAGUUUUAAAGGUUGCCCAGGGGGUAAAUAAGUUCAGUGGUAAAAUCCAUCAGUUAAACUGCAGAAGUGCCAUUGAUACUGCUAUACUUAAAUGUAGUGGAAAUGGUCGGAAUGUGACAUGUAGCGGUGAAAUGCUUAGAUAUGUCACAGAACACCGAUAGCGAAGGCAGCUCACUAGACUAAUAUUGACGCUCAUGCACGAAAGCGUGGGGAGCAAACAGGAUUAGAUACCCUGUAGUC
rnacentral:rRNA from 1 species